rnacentral:lncRNA from 1 species
UGGGUGUUGCCAAAGUUUGAGACGAAUGCAAAAAAACAUCCCGUUGACCGACUUCUGAGUCCUGCUACUAAUGAUCCCGACAACAAUGAUAGUCGUGUCAUAUACCAUUGUGUAGAUAAAUCAAUUUAGAUUUACGGCAUAUUAAGUUUAAGUAGGUUUGACAACCGAGAAAUAAAAAAAUAACGGGAAUUCGGGACUGGGUGUCAUUUUUCAAAAAAAUUUAGUUAAGUACCUUGUGUUAUAUUAAGGUAUAUAGGAUUUUUUUUU